rnacentral:lncRNA from 1 species
ACCGCCGUGGGCGGUGAAGCUGGCACUGGACCACGACGACGGUGCCAUACCAGAAUCCUAAAAUUUUCUAGAAAGGGUUUUCAACACUAAUUUUGGAUUUUUGAGGUAUUUUCAUAUACGUGACAGGUAUUUUGGUUCACGUAGAAAAAAUUCAGGAAAUCUAGGACCUGUUAGGAGGUGUAAUAGAUAGUACGACAGUUUGAAACAUCGACACAGGUGAAGAUCCUUUACCAUAUUCUCUAUUACAGUAAAUUGAGGAUUAAUAAUUGAUAAUUGCGUAUUUUGUGAAAAAAUUAGAAAAACUUUAAAAAUAAUUACAGGAUAGUAACGGAGCCAGAACCGGUUAGUUUAAUGGAGCCGGAACCGGUUAGUUUAUUAUUUGUAUUGAUUCCUUGUUUAUUUUUCU